rnacentral:antisense_RNA from 1 species
CGCUGUGCCACCGGACCCUGGUCUUUGAAACCUUGGCGUGCGCGAGAAUUUCCCAGUGAGUUUGUUAAAAUGCAGAUUCCUCGGGUCUGCGUCGACAGACUGUGCCCCCACGCUUUUCUAAGUCAGUUGUUUCUCGGGCUACCCUUUAAGAGACACUGCUGGAUGGCCUGGUGAAGAAAAUACAGAGAUAGGUGGAUAGAAGAACUAAGAAAACGGCUAAGAAAGUGUUUUGGUCCCACUACCAUUUCGCUCUGUGAUUUGGGGCAAUUCACAUUGGCUUCCCUGCCCUUUCUUCUUUGUCAAAAGACAAAAAUCACAACAAAUUUAAUUUAAAGAUUUUUUUUUCUUAAGAGACGGACUCUGGCAAUGUUGCCCAGGCUGGAACGCAGUGGCUAUUCACAGGUGCAAUCAUAGCAAUCAUGGCUAUCACAGGGGCAUCCUGGAACUCCUGGGCUCAAGUGAUCCUUCCGCCUCAGCCUCCGGAGUAGCUGGGACUUAAGGUAUGACAGAGCCAAAACUCCAAGUCAUGUCAGUAGGGCAUGACCAAUAGAAAAUGCUUUGACAUCUAACAACACCCAGAACCAAUGAUUCCUCCCUGUGGUACCAAGAAGACCUAGACAUGACCGGAACCUAAAUGCUGGAACUCUUUCAGGAGCAAAGGGUCUGUUGACCAGAAAGAUCCAGGGCUAAAAUCCACCUCAACAUACCCGUGUAGUCAAAUUUGACACCCUCCAAUCAGACCCUGCCAAGCCAAAAUUCCUAAUAUGUUUCCUUGCCCUCUGUAUUAGUCUGUUUUCAUGCUGCUGAUAAAGACAU